CUACUCGGGAGGCUGAGGCAGGAGAAUGGCUUGAACCCGGGAGGCGGAGCUUGCAGUGAGCCGAGAUGGCGCCACUGCACUCCAGCCAGGGCGACAGAGUGAGACUCGGUCUCAAAAAAAAAAAAAAAAGAAGCUUGUGGUUAACAAAGAUUUAGGGGUUGGCGGGGGAGGGAGAGAGCAGUCUUGUUGGGUCGUGAAUUCUGUUUUGGUUCCAGGGAAAUAGGGUUUCCAUUGCAUAUGGUGCAACAGGAUAUUUCCUCCACGCUCCAUCAAACAACGUUUCCUGGCACUUCUAGUGCGGCGAGUCCGGGCAGCGAGGUCGAAUCCAUUUUUGGAGCCAAAGGACUGCAUUCCUUUACAGUUAGUUCUACAACCGCCUCUGAGGAAGCGCCUGCCUGUCUCGAGUGACAUCUAAUGGCAACCAAGGGAAGUGCCCGAUUUUCCAGCCUGCGUAAGGAUCACCUAGAAAUGCUGUACUGUUUGUCACAACAGAAGACGCUUGAUCCUUUCCCUCACUAAUUACCCUGUGGUUGAUGACGACACGUAGGGCUGACAACAUGAGCAAGUAGAAGUUGUUCCACUUGCUAAUUAAAACCUUCAAGUAUGCUUUCAUGUAAAAUGGGAAACCACCGACUUACAUUUGAAUGCUCCCAAAUCCCGGCCUCGGCAGUGAUUGUCCUGAGCGUAGGAACACGAGGAAAUUUCCACCCUUUGGACGCAUCACUUGCAUUUUAGCUCAUGGCCAAAAUGGAACUGACUUCAUCUCCUUAAUGGGCAGAGUGUGUGCUAAGGAAAAAGAGAUGUGCAAACUGAAACAGAAGGAAAUGAGAAAGGCCAGGCUCCUCUGAACUGACCCUGGCAUCGCUACAGGGAGCUGUCAGGACCAGAGUCCAUUUGCUUAUCUGAAGUUUUUUUUUUUUUUCUUUUUUGAGACAGAGUUUCGUUCCGUCGCUCAGGAUGGAGUGUAAUGGCACGAUCUCAGCUCACUGCAACCUCUGACUCCCGGGUUCAAGCAAUUCUCCUGCCUCAGCUUCCUGAGUAGCUGGGAUUACAGGCACCUGCCACCACGCUGGGCUAAUUAUUUUAUUUUAUUUUUAGUAGCGAAAGGGUUUCACCAUGCUGGCCAGGCUGAUCUUGAACUCCCGACCUCAGGCGAUCCGCCCAUCUGGGCCUCCCAAACUGCUGGAAUUACAGGUGAGAGCCACCGCGCCUGGCCUCUUUUUUUCUUAAUUUAAUUUAAUUAAUUUAUUUAUU
rnacentral:lncRNA from 1 species